CUUGAUAUCCUUGAGCAAAACAACUUUGCAUGGGGCUUGAUGCUUGAUUCUGGCAAGUUUGGCCAUCUCCUGGAAAAUUUCUUCCGUUUCACCACCGGACACAUCGAUGACAAUAAGGAUACCGGAAGGAAUCCCCCCAAGGCUGACUCUCCUGAUACCAGUGUUGUUCCUCAGCUGGUUCACCUUCUCCUUGAAGCUGAAGCAUCGGUCGGCGUUGUUGUAGUCCAUGGCAAUGAUGGUUGUGCUAUUGCUCCGCACCUUCUCCAAGGUGGAGCCGAUGAACUUAGCCUGCGGAACCAGCCAGACCUUGACACCAAUGCUCUCCAUCCAUGUCUGCAUGAUCCUCCUGGUUUCAUACCCACGAACGUACAGAAUGCAAUGCACACCCUUGAAGUUGUUG
rnacentral:misc_RNA from 1 species